UCCCAACGGCAAAGGAGUUCCUCUCAUUCCCCCGAGUUCGGAUCGGACUGUAGAAGUCACGCGGAGAGAAGGGAGAGCAGCAGCAAAUCUACUGUAGAAUUCUCAACAUCGACUGUAGAAGAGAAGGGAGAGCAGCAGCAAAUCGCCAGAGUCGUAGUUGUUCCUUCUUGAUUGUUUCAGGUACCAAUUGCAGUUAUCUAAGCAGCAAAUCGCCAGAGUCGUAGUUGUUCCUUCUUUAUUAUCUAAGCAGUCUCCUUAUUAUUGAUUUUAAGUUAGAAUCCAUAUUAUCUAAGUUAGAAUAAUAAAACCCGUAGCUUCUCAUAUAAAAUCCAUCUUGCUGGCUGCAAUCUUCCUCCAUAUGAGAGAGUUUUAUUUGUCCAUGUCAUCAAGUGGCUAUUGAGUUGUCUAUGAGGCUUGAACAAUAUGAAUAUCUAAGUUCUCUCCCUAUUAAUGGCAGUUCCAAAUGCUUAAUUGGAAGCGACCUGAUAGGGUAGUUCAGAAUGCCUUGUAGACUUCCAUCUUUGUGACCUGUCGGUAUUAAGCACAUUGCACUUUUUCUUCUUCUGGAAUUGGAGAUAGACCUGAAAAUUAAGAAAAGUAGUGCAAAAUACUUUCUAUCGUUUAUAAGAACUGAUUGUUUGUUUUACAGAAGCACAAAAAGUCAUCAACAAAAAUAAGAUGUGAUAUAGAUUUAGCUCCUCCCAUAGUGUAGUUGUGAAUCUCCCGUCUUUGCUCUGCUCCAUGCAUGGAACCUUUGCGAUAUUCCCUCCAUCACCAAUUUAAAUAAUAUUAGAGAGAGAGGGUCUCCUUGCCUCAUACCCCCCCUCUCGGCCCUAAAUUGUUUAGUUGGUUGAUUUUCCAAUAGAAUAGAGAAUAUUGCUGAAGUAAUACAUUUCAUUAUCAUGUGUUGAACUCAUUUGAAAACCUCAUCCCCUAUAGCAUUUAGUAAAUAGCAUUCCAACUUAGUCAGUCAAAUGCUUUUCUCAAAUCCACUGCAAGGCAAGCUCCGAUCCUCUUUUAGGAGUAGAUUUCUGCUCAAAACUUUCUCUUGAAGAUUAGGGUUAUCUGAUAUAUUUCUACCUUUCACAAAUGCACACUGAUUUGGAGAUAUCAUGAUUCAUGACUGAUAGUACCAUAACUAAUCUUUAAAGUAAAUUAAUAUAGUAUUAAGAUUCCUAUUAUUAUUUUUACCAUAUAAAACAUAUAUAUUAAUAAGUUACCAACUUUUUUAUUUAAAAUGGGUGAUUUGAUUAAUAAAAUAGAAGUUUGAAGACAUUAAAAAGAUAAAUUAAAGUUAGGAUUUUUGAGUUUAGCUAGUUAGCUAACACUACAAGAAAACUGGGCUACUUAAAAUCAAUAAUUCAAUAUUAUGAAAUGUGCCCACUCAAAUUUUUCAUAAAUACUGAAAUUCAUAGUAGUACUGAAUUGCUACCCUUAUUUUUAAGUGUACUGAAAUAUAGAUAUUCAAACAUGUUAUCACUUAAUCUUAGAGUACUGUUAGUCUAUUACAGUGGAAUAAAUCUGAUUUUUUUUGGUCUGUGGAUCAAUAUAUUUUUAUGAUAAGUACGUAUUCAGUAUUAAUCUAGUAAAAAAUACAAUAAUUUCCCCAAUACAAUACGUAUUCAGUUAUUUGGAAGAUUUAUCAAAUAGCACAUGUACAUAUUUUCCCCAAAGAUUUCUCUGUUAUUUGGAAAUCUUAUAAUAGAUAUACUUAUAUUAAUUCCCAUGUUGUUUUAUUGGAUAUUUUAUUAAUUCCAUGGGAAAAUAUUCCAUUAGAAAUGGCACGCGGACGGAGUCGUAAACGAACAAACGACGGACGAUCACAAUCUGCAAGAAUAGAUCAAGAAAUCGUAGAGGACCGCUUCGAUGAAGAACAUCGAAGAAAAUGGACAAAAGGAUUGAGACAACCAGAUGCACCAACUCCCGCCACUAUUCUUAAGAGCGGGUGAGUAUUUUCAUUAUAAUUCAUUAUAUUUUAUUAUUUAAUUUGAUUGUUUUUUAUAGGACUUUUACAAACAAUGUAAGAAGUCAAAUAGGAAUAUUAGUAAAAGGUAAUAUAACGUCACCUUUAACUAAAUGGACUUCUUGGAAAGAAGAGGAAAAGAAAAAUAUUUUCGUCAAAUUUCUGGUAUGAUUUAUUUAUUUAUUUGUCAUUUUUUCCAUAUGUCAUUUUUUUCCAUAUGUAAUGUUUUCGUCUUUAUGUAGUGUUAUUUCUCAUUUGAGGACAUUCAAUUGGCUCGUGAAUGUUUUGAUAAUUAUGUACAAUUAAAUUAUACAUGUUGGUUGUAUAUAAAGCGAGACAAGAGGCAAAGAAAUUGGCAAAAGUUGACACACUGACCAGAUCUUGCGCUAGAUUUCCACCGAUAUACCUAUCUGCGGAAGUAUGGAGUGAAAUGAUUGAAAUUUGGUUAAAAGAAGAUUGGAAAAAAAGAUCCGAAAAAGCAUCAGAAAAUAGGACAAACAAUCCAGAUUACAUGUGAUGGGGGUGAAACCCGACCAGUACUCCAAGACGCGCAAGCAAGCGCCAAGCGGGGAACUCCGCGGGAAACCGGACCGGAACUCAAGUGUGCAGAGCUCUGCUUCGCUAGGAAUCCUUUCGCUCCAAAUGACCUGCCUUUAAUGAGUGGGGGGUGCCCUCUAUUUAUAGGGGUUCUUAUGGGGGCAAUAUGGUCAUUUGGGCAGUAACCGCCUAACUGCCCAACUGAUCAUAUUGGGUCCAGGGGUCGACUUUCCAGAGAUCGACUUUCCUGAGGAUCGACUUCCCUGGGAUCGACUUUUAAGAAAAGUCGAUCCCAGGGAAGUCGAUCCUCAGGAAAGUCGAUCUUCCUAGGAUUCGACCUGGAACCUCCCCAACCCUAGAAUAGAUACCUCGACUCAUCUUAGGCUAUCCGGACUUCUAGUUGCUGGUAGGUUGUGACCGUGUUCGGGAUACUGUAUCACCAGUACUCCCCCCUCCUCUGCGUAUUAGAUACUUUGGGAUACGUCUUUUAGUACUAUGGUCUGCGUGUCGGACCCUGUACUAUCAGUAUUCCCCCCUCUUUGCGUGCUGGGAUGUGGAUUUCUGGUGAUGUCCCUGGAUGUAAGAUCCUCUGUCACCAACAUGCCAUACACGGGUGGAUCUUGUUCAGUUGCGGCCACUCAUGAAAGAAUGGUAAAAAAACAUUUCUUUCAUAUAUUUUACAUUUAUCAUUCUAAUUUUUUUGAGUAUAACAAUCAGAAUGAAGAAGCUGGUUAUGAAGUCGAUCACUGUGAGGUUUAUAAGAAAACACAUAGUUUGGCUAAGACAAACGACUGGGCCCAUCCAAAGGGAGGAUGCUUCAUUGUAAGAAAAUUCGUUAGAAAUGCUUCGUUUUAAGAUAUUUAAGUCAUAUUUUUUAUUUAUUAUUGAUUUUCAUUUUUAUAGGCUGACUAUAAUGAGCUUUAAAGAAAUGCUAUGGAAGCAGAAAAUUCUGAGAUCAACUCAUCUAAUGGAUCACACACACUCCCUGAUAAUUUAGAAUUAUGGGUCAAAGCUACUAACGGAAAAAACAAAGGUCGUGUGCUUGGAACCAGAGCAAGUGAUCCAAUGCCAUUACCAAUUCCUGAUAAUAUGGCGACUUCACAGAACACAACGACGAAUUAUAUAGAAAUUCAACAACAAAAAAGUAAAGAAGACUUUGAUCGGGCAGUUCAAGAGGCCAUUAGAAAACAGAUGCCGGAUAUACUAAAGGAACUAAGGGAANNN
rnacentral:lncRNA from 1 species